rnacentral:rRNA from 1 species
GAUGAACGCUGGCGGCGUGCCUAAGACAUGCAAGUCGAACGCGGGACGGGGAGCAAUCCUUGUCCUGAGUGGCGAAUGGGUGCGUAACACGUAGGUGACCUGCCCCGAAGUGGGGAAUAACAGUCCGAAAGGACUGCUAAUACCGCAUACGGCGGACCGGGUUAGAGGCCGGUUCGCGAAAGGUUCCGCAAGGGACCGCUUUGGGAGGGGCCUGCGGCCCAUCAGCUAGUUGGCAGGGUAACGGCCUACCAAGGCGACGACGGGUAGGGGACCUGAGAGGGUGACCCCCACCAC